rnacentral:lncRNA from 1 species
UUUGUCCGUAUAACCACUCUCUCCUUUCAGUUGAACCUUAAGAACUUCCUCUCAGACUUCAUGCUCUGCAGAUCCACCAUGUCCUGCAAACUCCAUCCCAUUUGGAGCCUGGGAGUCCUCCUUCAGAUUCCUCCAUCCCAAUCAGAGCCUGGAGUCCUCUGUCAGACUCCUCCCCACCAGGAGCUUGGAAGUCCUCCUUCAGUCUCCUCCCCACCAGAAGCCUGGGAGUCCUCCUUCAGACAUCAUUUCUGGGGACAAAGUUUGGAAGACCCUGUUUCUAAGAAGAAAAGGAGAGGCGGAAGAGACGAGGAAGGAGAAAGAGACAAAAGGAGAAGGAAGAGGAGGAGGCCAGCAGCAGCACCUGACACACCUCCAAAGGAUUCUUAACAAAUGUUAGACUUGGUGACUUUUGCAGAAAAUAACCAGUCACCCAGAAGCCCUGUUGCAAGGCAAUGCAGCAGCCUUUCAGUUAUACAGACCACUGACAUUGCUGGGCUACUGGAUGGCCCAAAGGGAGUCAAUGAACACCAACAAAAUAAAUAACCAACAAAAUAA